rnacentral:rRNA from 5 species
CAGGUGGUCAGGUAGAGAAUACCAAGGCGCUUGAGAGAACUCGGGUGAAGGAACUAGGCAAAAUGGUGCCGUAACUUCGGGAGAAGGCACGCUGACACGUAGGUGAAGUGAUUUACUCAUGGAGCUGAAGUCAGUCGAAGAUACCAGCUGGCUGCAACUGUUUAUUAAAAACACAGCACUGUGCAAACACGAAAGUGGACGUAUACGGUGUGACGCCUGCCCGGUGCCGGAAGGUUAAUUGAUGGGGUCAGCGCAAGCGAAGCUCCUGAUCGAAGCCCCGGUAAACGGCGGCCGUAACUAUAACGGUCCUAAGGUAGCGAAAUUCCUUGUCGGGUAAGUUCCGACCUGCACGAAUGGCGUAAUGAUGGCCAGGCUGUCUCCACCCGAGACUCAGUGAAAUUGAACUCGCUGUGAAGAUGCAGUGUACCCGCGGCAAGACGGAAAGACCCCGUGAACCUUUACUAUAGCUUGACACUGAACAUUGAGCCUUGAUGUGUAGGAUAGGUGGGAGGCUUUGAAGUGUGGACGCCAGUCUGCAUGGAGCCGACCUUGAAAUACCACCCUUUAAUGUUUGAUGUUCUAACGUGGACCCGUAAUCCGGGUUGCGGACAGUGUCUGGUGGGUAGUUUGACUGGGGCGGUCUCCUCCUAAAGAGUAACGGAGGAGCACGAAGGUUGGCUAAUCCUGGUCGGACAUCAGGAGGUUAGUGCAAUGGCAUAAGCCAGCUUGACUGCGAGCGUGACGGCGCGAGCAGGUGCGAAAGCAGGUCAUAGUGAUCCGGUGGUUCUGAAUGGAAGGGCCAUCGCUCAACGGAUAAAAGGUACUCCGGGGAUAACAGGCUGAUACCGCCCAAGAGUUCAUAUCGACGGCGGUGUUUGGCACCUCGAUGUCGGCUCAUCACAUCCUGGGGCUGAAGUAGGUCCCAAGGGUAUGGCUGUUCGCCAUUUAAAGUGGUACGCGAGCUGGGUUUAGAACGUCGUGAGACAGUUCGGUCCCUAUCUGCCGUGGGCGCUGGAGAACUGAGGGGGGCUGCUCCUAGUACGAGAGGACCGGAGUGGACGCAUCACUGGUGUUCGGGUUGUCAUGCCAAUGGCACUGCCCGGUAGCUAAAUGCGGAAGAGAUAAGUGCUGAAAGCAUCUAAGCACGAAACUUGCCCCGAGAUGAGUUCUCCCUGAGACUUAGAGUCUCCUGAAGGAACGUUGAAGACGACGACGUUGAUAGGCCGGGUGUGUAAGCGCAGCGAUGCGUUGAGCUAACCGGUACUAAUGAACCGUGAGGCUUAACCUUACA